UGUAUGGUUAAGUGACUAAGCGUACACGGUGGAUGCCUGGGCAGUCAGAGGCGAUGAAGGACGUACUAACUUGCGAUAAGCGCAGAUAAGGCAGUAAGAGCCGUUUGAGUCUGCGAUUUCCGAAUGGGGAAACCCAACUGCAUAAGCAGUUACUGUUAACUGAAUACAUAGGUUAACAGAGCAAACCGGGGGAACUGAAACAUCUAAGUACCCCGAGGAGAAGAAAUCAACCGAGAUUCCGGUAGUAGCGGCGAGCGAACCUGGAUUAGCCCUUAAGCACUCGGUGAAGUAGGUGAACAAGCUGGAAAGCUUGGCGAUACAGGGUGAUAGCCCCGUAACCGACGCUUCAUCGAGCGUGAAAUCGAGUAGGGCGGG
rnacentral:rRNA from 1 species